UGAACAAAGUUACUUUGUCUUGAGCUGACCAAUAAUGGUAGUGUGUGUUGAUUGGUGUUUAUAGUUCAGGCUCGACAACCUUAUUGCCGUGCAUAUAUAACUCUUUUAUUUUUCUUCAUAUUUACAUUAGUUGUUUUUCAGAAAGCUGCUACAGAAGAAAAACUGAAAUCUGAGUGCAGAGACAAGGGAAGAAGAGAGUAAGCGCUGUACAGUGAUGACAGACAAGAGGAUAAAGCUUGAUGAGGAGGAUAUAGCCAAAGCUUUUAAAGAGAUCCUCUGAUAAAGCGGUCUUCAAAUACUACAAGCCCCAGUUGUAGAAGAUGAGUCGAACUCAAAGAAGUGAUCGUCCACAUGAAGAUGAAGAUCUGAUAUUCAAACUUUUCUGUUUCUUUGGUUCAGCCAUUUUUAGGCCUAAGCUUGUAAAUAAUUUAUUAUUCACUUCUGCAAAUUAUUUUUCUGAAACUUAUUUUUAUUUUUUC